GAAUCAAGUCAGCCUAGUCCAAAAUAUUCACCAGCUUGGUGAACAAGGAGCGGGGGAACCAUAUUAAGGGGCUUAUUUCUGAAAUGUUCUUUGAUUAAAAGACACAGAAAGGGACAUCUCUCAGCCCUAGCCCGUCAGCUAACUCCGUAGGCAUUGAGAGGAGACUGA
rnacentral:sRNA from 2 species